rnacentral:rRNA from 1 species
AUGAACGCUGGCGGCGUGCCUAAUACCUGCAAGUCGAGCGAACAGACGAGGAGCUUGCUCCUCUGACGUUAGCGGCGGACGGGUGAGUAACACGUGGAUAACCUACCUAUAAGACUGGGAUAACUUCGGGAAACCGGAGCUAAUACCGGAUAAUAUAUUGAACCGCAUGGUUCAAUAGUGAAAGACGGUUUUGCUGUCACUUAUAGAUGGAUCCGCGCCGCAUUAGCUAGUUGGUAAGGUAACGGCUUACCAAGGCAACGAUGCGUAGCCGACCUGAGAGGGUGAUCGGCCACACUGGAACUGAGACACGGUCCAGACUCCUACGGGUGGCAGCAGUAGGGAAUCUUCCGCAAUGGGCGAAAGCCUGACGGAGCAACGCCGCGUGAGUGAUGAAGUUCUUCGGAUCGUAAAACUCUGUUAUUAGGGAAGAACAAAUGUGUAAGUAACUAUGCACGUCUUGACGGUACCUAAGCAGAAAGCCACGGCUAACUACGUG